GGAUAGGUAAAGGAGAAGAGAGCGGAGACACGCGGAGAGAGGGCAUGCGGCUCGGUGGCGCGGCGUAGCCUGUGGCCGCUGCCGCUGCUCAAGGUGGCGACGCGCGACCGGAGAAAGGGAAGGAAAGGAGGGAGGUAAAGAGGGAAGGCGUUGCUUGGAGCACACCGUCUCUCUCUCUCUCCCUGCGCUAACGCGGGAGGAGACGAGGGGAAACGCGAGCUGCCGCGGGAAGAGACCACCUCAUCGCCGCUCCGUGCCAACGCGGCCAGCGGCCGCAGCCGUCGUUUGGUGGCGCGGUGCGCUCGCUGGAGGGGAAAGGAAAAGAAGGAAGAAAAAGACACCGUUUCUCUUGCUCUCCUCUCACAGCGCCGCGGCGACGCGGGGGAGACGGGGGGAAGGGUAGGCGCAGCAACGGUAGGGGAAGCGGCCAACGCAGAUUCGGAGCGCCACUCGCGCGGCGGCAGCUUGCCAAACCGGCGCCACGGGGGAAAAGGAAAAAAAUAAGAAGAAGAAGGCUGCGGAGCCGAAUGACUACGCGCAGGCCUAGCUCUCCUUGCCGCGCAGGAACACCGCCGCGAGAAACAGCCGCUCGAGUUCCGGGACGGGCCACUCAAAGAAACGGGACAGAUCUCAAGAACCCCCCUUUCCUCCUAGAAAGAAAGAGACAUAUACGAAACAUGGCUUAUAGAAUCGGAUUGUACGAGACUUUGGUAACUAUCUACAACACUUAGUAAUCCGAUCUAAUCUAGCCACCAGGAUGGAAGAGGAAAACCGAGCUCCUCGAGGGCCACGGCCGGUACCACUGCCACCGGCCACUACCGUCUCUCAACUAGCACCCACUUCACCACCCUCAUGCCGCAACGCUGCUUGGAGCACUACGCUCGGCGGCCGGGGGUGGAGAAAUAUAUCACGUCCACUGUCCCCGGGCAGUGGGUAUUACCCAACUCGUGGGGGCUAGUCCCGCGCCUAGAUUCCCGGGCCACCCGGCAACCCGGGUGUGCCACUUCUAGUAGGAUUGUGUAGGACGAAGCUAUCAUUUAUUUUAAUAAAACCGGAUUGGGUACGACGUUGCUGAUAAGGAAGUUUAAAACUUAUCACUAACUCAGAAGUUCCGUACCGACCCAACGUCCAACUAUCUUUCUAAGAAAUACGUGUUACUAAGAUUGGUAGGAUGGAGUUUUUUUUUUUACUAAGUUUGGUAGGUGUUGAAGGGGAGUUAUAUUUGUAAAUUAAUCUGUACUCUUGUUACUUGAUAGUUUAUUCAUUGACUUAUAAAAUAUCCAAAGUUGUAAUUGUCUAUAAGAUUUUGUAAGUGGCUGUAUCAAGUAUUAAGUAAAGUUGUGUAUUAUUUGUGGAUGGGAACUCCGUAUAGCUUUCUACCGGAUUGUCCAUUGAUUGACUUUUAAAAUAUGUCUCUCAGGUACUGUACAUUCUGCUCCUCAGCUGCCGCUGUCUCUUAUGUUUAUGGAAGCAGCACGCGCGUCAAUAGACCAGCUCACUAGCGAGGAACAAAACAGUGUGAGUAGACGGUUGUGUUUAGCAAACCGAGAGGCCGUCCCACUAGUGCCGCGGCGGCGGUUUGGGGUCGCAGUGGAUACCCUUUUCUAAGCGGGUACGGAACCAGAGCGGCCGGUGCAGCAUCGUGUCUAGGUGAUCGAAGAGGCCGCUGACGAAGGCGCCCUCGAACUACGAGGCCCGCUGGAGGCGGUGCUGGACCAGGUCGUCGGGGAACAGCUCCAUGUAGUCGUGGCCCUGCCUCAGCGGCUACUGUCCCCUGGCGAAGCCACCGUGCUGCCAGCUCAAGGGCUAGAACUGACUGCGCUCGUCCUAGCACAUCUUUCGCAGGCCGCGCCUCCCCUAGUCGCCGCACCAGUGGUGCGGGCCGAGGCAGUGCCGCAGUAAAUUUUUUUUAUGAGCGAUCAAAGUAUUAUAACACGUAUAUCUAAAAAUUUUUCAGUCUGUAGUAUUUGAAACUAGCUUAAAUACCUUUUUUGUAAGUAGAUCUUGCGGUUUGAAUAUAGUAAUCUUGAAAGUAUGUAUGAAAUAUACAAACUAUAAUAUCGAUAUUUAUCAUAAAACCUUACCUCCCUCAUAGAGAUUUUUGAAUAUAGUAGUAUUUGAUAUAAAAUCUUACUUCCCUCACAGAAAUUUUUGAACCAGCUUAAAGUAUCAUGAGGGAGGUAAAGUUUUAUAUCACGCGAGCGCGAAGGGCUCCAGCUUGAAACUAGUAUUUAAAUUGCUUACUCUGGCUGAUGCCGCCCUCUUUUUCAAUGUAUUAAUUUUUGAAGAAAGCUUAUGCUUAAGUAACUAUAUUAAAAACGAGAACGGCGUUAGCUAGAACUAUCAAUUUAAAUGCCAGUUUCAACUUCGUGCUCCUAUGUUGUGAUAUAACAACACCUUACCUCCCUCAUCACGGAUAGCUGAGCUGACGGCACUCUCGCGUCAGUACGGCAGCCAGUUAACGAGCCACAAAACAGAGGCGCCAGUGUGAGUGGACGGUUGUGUCUAGCAAAGCGAGACGCGUGUGCGGUACGGGUACGCGCGCGAGAGAGAAGGAGAGGGCAGGGCAGUGGAGUUAGGUUAGGCGCCCGGCCGAGAACGAUAAGAAGAAGGGGAAAGUUUAUGAGAUGAGGUGUCGUGUGCGAGCCACAGUUCGUGAGUUCGGAUAAGUAAAGAGGAGCCAGGAGCGGUGGUGUGUUCACUCACUCCCUUCUCGAUCUAUGGUGGCAGCGGCGGGCGGGUCGUGGUCCUACCGCUGGUGGUGCUGGUGGCGCGACUCGUACUUCGAGGACCACCUGUGGGUCCGGGCCGCGCACGACAAGCGCCUCCGCUCGUUCCUGCACCACCUGAAGGAGAAGAGGGAGGAGCGCGACGGGCAGCCGUGGCGGCAGUUCGACGAGCCCUUCCUCCGGUACCAGCCGACGCAGCCGUCGGAGAUGCCGUCGCACCUCUUCGAGCUGCCGUGGAUGCAGGUCGGGCCGCGGCGGUUCCUGCGCGACGAGGUGGGGCGGCAGGAGAGCGGCAGCCGGUCGUCGUUUUCGAGGGAGGACCCGUACGGCGGCGGCGGCACGGGUGUCCGCUUCCGCAAGAUGUCUACGUCGUCCGUCACGUUGACGAUGUCGCUGCCUAUACUGCCGUCGUCGUCGGUCGUCCGAUCUACGUUGUCGACGGCCUGAAUGUACUGCCUCUCAAUGCCGUGGAUGACAGGUAGCACAUUCUUGGUCUACUGGUGCCGGAAGUGCCAGCACGGCAGCCGGCGCAGGCCUCCGCUCCACCGCGUCCGCCGCCCGCCGCAGUCGCCCUUCCCCAAGCACGUCCCGUAGCACUGCAUGUGCCACUACCUGCUGGAGUGCCACUGCGGGUACAGGAGGUAGAGGUCGUAGUGGGACGAGUUGUGGAAGCGGCAGUCGCUGGAGUCGCGCGAGGUCCUCUUCUGGCACGUCGAGCCGAUACUGGUCCCAGACCUCUAGGAGUUCCGCAGCGACGUCAGGUUCUGGCACGAGUGGCUGCAAAAGGACUUCGGGGGGUCGUCGCGAACUUUGCGUGCCAGGACGCGGAUUGUACGAGUAGCUGUACCCUUUCAUCGAGCUACACAGAUCGAUUUAAUCCAACUAGAAAACACGCCGGUAGUCUUGAUAGAUUGCCACCGUAGAAAACCAUUACAGUUCACAGGCUACCAUGAUACCAUCAUCAAUCUACGAGCAUCAGGUCGAAUUCAAUAGUCAACGAGGUCCAACAUGAUCAUGAAUACACAACUACGAACUACAUACGCAAACGUAGCGUCCAUCCCCAUAGUAGAAGACAACCAAGAGUUUUACAAAAAAGUACGCAUAGAGCAUACACAGCUG
rnacentral:rRNA from 1 species